UCCGUCUCAAAAAAAAAAGAAAAAAUUGGAAUGAUACAGAGAAGAUUGGCAUGGUCCCUGUGCAAGGAUGACAUGCAAAUUUGUAAAGUGUUCCAUAAAAAA
rfam:Pan troglodytes isolate Yerkes chimp pedigree #C0471 (Clint) chromosome 17, whole genome shotgun sequence.